AUUGGAUUCAACAUUUUUGCAUCAUAAUAUAAAGUCAUUAUACGUGUAAAAGAAUCCAAAUGCACUCUCUUCAGGGCCGUUCUCCUUUGCGUUUUAGAAAGAUUUUUUCAAUAAAAAGUCUUUUUCUUUUAAAAGGAGCCAAGAAUAAUCUCCAUUUCAAAAAAAAUUCGCCAUCGGAAAAGUCAUUUUAUCCAGAUGAAAAAGUUAAAAUUUUCUCCUUUUCUUCAGCCAAAAGUGCUUUUGGCUAGUAAUUUCCAUUUUUCUCCCCCCAAAACCGUUCCUCCCUCUGGUUAUUUGCCUGAGAUAUCAAGUUCUUUACCUUUGUUUCUUUUCCUCUGGUUCUUUGUUCCUCUUCCGCUGGCACAGUAAUUACAGAUGAACCCCAAUUGAUUAGCAUCACCGUUUACGACACCGACCGUGAUAGAAUGCAAAACACUGUCGCCAAGGUUGCCGUGGUGAGAAGCUUUCAGGGUCUGUUUGUGCCGCUACUUUGGCAAGGGAUGGAAUUUUAGUGACCCUUUUUGACUCUGCCAGGGGUCCUGGUGGCCGCAUGUCUCAAAGAAGGUUCCUUUUUUGUUUCUCUCCACUUAUUUUUUUAUUAAAAAUUCAUUUUCUUUGACGAAUUUUGACUGCCCUUUUUAUAUUCUAUUGUUUCCUGGUGUUUUGGGAAGCAGAAAUAAAAUUUUAAAGUGCAUAGUUUAAUGAAUUUUUGUUGUUUUUGGUAAUAUGUAACUUUGGGAAUUUAGAGAGAUAAGUGAAGAUGGGAGAGAGCUGUUAUUCGAUCAUAGUGCUCCUUAUUUCACAGUGACAAAUCCCGAUGUGUUGAGUGUUGUUACUGAGUGGGAAUCAAGAGGCCUUGUUGUUGAAUGGAAAUCGAAUUUUGGGUCUUUUGAUUGUUUCACCAACAAAAUUGUCAACACUGAACACCAGGUUCUUGUAACUAUUAUUAUACUAUUUGUUCUUCACUUCUUUUUGCUCCACCUAAUGGUACUAUUAUUUGUUUAUGUGCAUGGUUUUAUCUUAAUUAUAUCUUAACUUGCUUAUGAGGAGAGGGCAACGAUGUUUUUGAAUUGCUUAUGUGCAUGAAUUGAUGCUUUUUUCUUGAUUUCUUAGAAGCUUGGAACUAUUUUUUUUUUUGAAGUUAAUAGGAUACUGUUAAACGUUAAUGAUCCUUGCUAUAGUUGCUUCGUAAGUGCUUGCUUGCUAUAUUGUUCUUUUUUAUGUUCAUGCACUCUUCAGCUUGAUUCACUUGUAGGGUUCUUUCAUUUAACCCUUCAUCAGCUUAGGCUGUUUAUGAUUGUAUUAUGUUUUCAAUUAAAAGGUCAGCAUAUCUAUGUAAAGUGUUGCAUAGUUGGUCAACGUCCAGCUCCAGUAUUGAUUCUGAUGUUUAUAUUAUAUAUAGUCUCACAGAUGCCCAUUUUUUAGACAAAUAAAAACCGGUGAUAUGUUUUAAACUCUACUGUUUGGUAUUAUUGCUUUAGUUCUCUGUUUGAUACACUAGAAAUUCUAAAAUCUGGAGAAAGAUUAGCUGCUUCAGAAGUGGGACUACUUGCUACAGUUGGUGUUACUAUGGUGAAGGUACUACAUUGCCUACUGUAAUACCCAAUUUUAGCCCGGGCUCACAUAUGGAAACAUAAUCUUCGAAGAUAUGCAAUCUUAGAUAUGAUAUGCAAUCUUAGAUAUGAUAUAUGCAAUCUUAGAAGAUAUGAUUUUGUAAUCUUAGAGAUUUAAUUUGUAGAUACCAUUUAAUCUUAGCCAUUGAUGUAAUUGAUCUGUACCGUUGGAUUUGAGGAAGCUCAACUAUAAAUAGAGGCCUCUCCCUUCAUUGUAAAAGAGGAAAUGAGGGAAUCAAUAAAAAAAUGGAGAACGAUUGGCAGUUUUUUAAA